CCACCGCCCCCCCACCCUCCGCGGCGCCUCUCGCGAGAGCGGCCGCGCCUCCGUGAGGGGAUACGCCGGCUGCGUGGCCCGGCCCCUCUCCGGCUGCGUAAAGGAGCCGCCUACCGUCUGGAAUACGGAAAUGACGUGAGCGGCGGCGCUCCGUUGGCGGGCUCGGGCCCCAGCUGGGAUUGACGAGAGGCUGAGCGGGCGGGGUCUCCGAGCUCAGAUUCACCUGGCUCCUCUGCUGAGCCGUGCUUCCCGCUGAACUCAGUCUGAUGAUUUACUAAUAAACGAAUAAUCUC